rnacentral:misc_RNA from 1 species
GAUGAAGAACGCAGCGAAAUGCGAUACGUAAUGUGAAUUGCAGAAUUCAGUGAAUCAUCGAAUCUUUGAACGCAUAUUGCGCUCUUUGGUAUUCCGAAGAGCAUGCUUGUUUGAGUAUCAGUAAACACCUCAAAGACUUCAAUUUGUUUUGAAUGGCUUUGGACUUGAGCAAUCCCAACACCAGUCUUUACGAUCGGUGGAGGGUUGCUUGAAAUGCAGGUGCAGCUGGACAUUCUCCUGAGCUAAAAGCAUAUUUAUUUAGUCCCGUCAAACGGAUUAUUACUUUUGCUGCAGCUAACAUAAAGGGAGUUUGACCGUAUUGGCUGACUGAUGCAGGAUUUCACAAGGGUCGGCAACGAUUCUUGUUAAACUCGAUCUCAAAUCAAGUAAGACUACCCGCUGAACUUAAGCAUAUCAAUAGCGGAGGA